GAAAGUGUGGGGAGCAAACAGGAUUAGAUACCCUGGUAGUCCACACUGUAAACGAUGAAUGCUAGGUGUAAGAGGUAUCGACCCCCUUUUGUGCCGCAGUCAACACAAUAAGCAUUCCGCCUGGGGAGUACGGCCGCAAGGUUGAAACUCAAAGGAAUUGACGGGGGCCCGCACAAGCAGCGGAGCAUGUGGUUUAAUUCGACGCAACGCGAAGAACCUUACCAGGUCUUGACAUCCACUUAAAGGUAUAGAGAUAUACUGUGAGCUUGCUCGAAGUGAGACAGGUGGUGCAUGGUUGUCGUCAGCUCGUGUCGUGAGAUGUUGGGUUAAGUCCCGCAACGAGCGCAACCCUUGCUGAUAGUUACUAACGCGUGAUGGCGAGGACUCUAUUAGGACUGUCGGGGACAACUCGGAGGAAGGUGGGGACGACGUCAAAUCAUCAUGCCCCUUAUGACCUGGGCUACACACGUGCUACAAUGGCCGUAACAGAGAGGGGCGAGUCCGUAAGGAUGAGCAGAUCUCAAAAAAGCGGUCUCAGUUCGGAUUGUGGGCUGCAACCCGCCCACAUGAAGUCGGAGUUGCUAGUAAUCCGCGGAUCAG
rnacentral:rRNA from 1 species